AACUUUUCCUCGGUGCUAACUUUGAUUCAAACUCCAUUCAGAGCCAAGUACAGUGAAUAUUGUCAAAGUCAAGGUCAUUGUGAACUUGCAUGGUCGAGUGACAGCUAAUUAAUCAACCAGUAUAGUUUAAUUAAAUAAAAUGACAAAAUCAUAAUGUUUUUAUUAUUGGUGUCGUUAAACAAACUCCACAACUCCAUACAUACAGUAAUAACGCACGCGCGCGCGCGCACACACACACACACACACACACCAAAAAAAGAAGUUUGUUUACAAAUUCCUUUCUUAUGACAGGUGACUGAGUCACUCUUUUUAACUCCUCACCAACCCCAUUCAGAAUUCCGGAUCUUGUCUUUAUGAUGGCGUAAUAAUGCGCCCGAGCCACUUACUGUAUGACCGUCUGACAAACGGCAUGAAGCACGCACUUCUGUGACAGCUGAACCGUCGUACACGGGGUGAUGUCUGGUGUCCAAACUUCUGCGUUCUUAUGACGACGGCUUUCUGGCAGGACACUUUCUGCAUGUGGCAGUAGCUGGGAUGGCAGCCACCAGGUGGCAGUAGCUGUUGUACGUGACAGAGUCCUCCCCGCAGAUGUAGUUUUCCUUCGCCAUGUCGCAGUUGAUGUUACAGUGGACGCAGUGAGGCAGUCGGUUCUGGUCUUCCAGGCAGACUUUGUUCUUGAGGAAACAUUUGACGUGCUCGCAGGACCCUGAAAGUGGAAUAGGAUUGUGAUCAUUGUGCUUGUUACUUCACAUUCGAUACUAUCGCAUCAGAUCGGAUCAGAUUGUAUCGCAUCGCAUCGCAUAACAUCGCAUCGCCCUUAAUCGCAUCUCAGACAUGUUCAGGAGUACGAGGCUGGUUUCUUGUGUGCCUAUUAAACGUACGUGAUGUGAUAGAAUUCGACGAUGCCAGUUAAAUUGUUCGCGAGCGCUCUGUCUCCUGAACACGCGACAGAUAUAUAGUUGAUGAUGGUCAUGUCAGUAGCGCACCUAACGUGAGAGCAUGUGGGAGUGGGUUUCUUGCUACAAGUUUUAUGCCAUUGCCCUUGAGACGAUAAUGCAGUUUAUCUAUAACAUAAAAAAUCAAUAUUUA